rnacentral:rRNA from 1 species
ACUCCUACGGGGGGCAGCAGUGAGGAAUAUUGGACAAUGGGCGGGAGCCUGAACCAGCCAUGUCGCGUGCAGGAAGACUGCCCUAUGGGCUGUAAACUGCUUUUAUACGGGAAUAAAUGCCCUACGUGUAGGGAGUUGCGUGUACCGUAUGAAUAAGCACCGGCUAACUCCGUGCCAGCAGCCGCGGUAA